AAUGAACGCUGGCGGCAGGCCUAACACAUGCAAGUCGAACGGGUCCUUCGGGACUAGUGGCGGACGGGUGAGUAACGCGUGGGAACGUGCCCCUUGGUACGGAAUAGCCCCGGGAAACUGGGAGUAAUACCGUAUGUGGUCGAGAGACGAAAGAUUUAUCGCCAAGGGAUCGGCCCGCGUUGGAUUAGGUAGUUGGUGGGGUAAUGGCCUACCAAGCCGACGAUCCAUAGCUGGUUUGAGAGGAUGAUCAGCCACACUGGGACGGAGGCACGGCCCAGACUCCUACGGGAGGCAGCAGUGGGGAAUCUUAGACAAUGGGGGAAACCCUGAUCUAGCCAUGCCGCGUGAUCGAUGAAGGCCUUAGGGUUGUAAAGAUCUUUCAGGUGGGAAGAUAAUGACUGUACCACCAGAAGAAGCCCCGGCUAACUCCGUGCCAGCAGCCGCAGUAAUAC
rnacentral:rRNA from 1 species